UCCGCCCUCGCGCUGGGGCGGAGUCUCGGAGCAGUGCUGGAGCUGAAGCAUCUUUCACACCCUCCUCACCCUCCCCACCGACAUCAUGCUUCAGUUCCUGCUUGGAUUUACUUUGGGCAACGUGGUUGGAAUGUAUCUGGCCCAGAACUACGACAUGCCAAACCUGGCUAAAAAACUUGAAGAGAUUAAAAAGGACCUGGAAGCCAAGAAGAAGCCCCCUAGUUCCUGAUGCCCACCUGGCACUGUAUUCUGGACCCACCAAUUCCGUCCCGGGGCCUGCCUUCUUCACAGCCACAUCCAAAGCUGUGUUCCUCUUUGGUCUCAGAGCCUGCGAGUUGCCUCAGAUCUAACACCGGCCCGAAGUCGAGUUAGCUCUUCGUUUCCAGCAUCUCCCCUCCCCCCGUAUCUUCUGUCCAGCAGCUUCUGAGUCCUAAGGCUGGAACUAAGGUGCUAGGUCAGCAAACACAACCGUAACUGGUAUUCACCUGUGCUCUGAGAGACCCCCGUGGUCAAGGAAUGACUGGCUUUGGAUAGCCGCUGCAUUCACUGUCUAGCAGUGACAGUAGGAGCUUGCUACACAAACCAAAUUUUGUUAAAGUAAUUAAAAUCAGUAUCUUCAAGCCAGUUUCUGGUGAAUUAAUCCAUUUGUUAUAUAAUGUUAUCAAGGAACUCCACGAUUGAUAAUUUAACCAAUAAAUUGUUUGCUGGUCAUUAACCAAAAAACUAUGAAUUCAGUAAAAAAAAAGAGAGAGAGAGAGAGAGAGAGAGAGAGAGAGAGAGAGAGAGAGAGAGAGAGAGACUUGGAAAAUUUAAAACAUGCAAAACGCAGUUCAGUCUGUUUAGUCUGUGCUUUU
rnacentral:lncRNA from 1 species